rnacentral:rRNA from 1 species
UACGUAGGGGGCAAGCGUUGUCCGGAAUCAUUGGGCGUAAAGAGCGUGUAGGCGGCUCGAUAAGUCCGCUGUGAAAGUCGAGGGCUCAACCCUCGAAUGCCGGCGGAUACUGUCGGGCUAGAGUCCGGAAGAGGCGAGUGGAAUUCCUGGUGUAGCGGUGAAAUGCGCAGAUAUCGGGAGGAACACCUGUGGCGAAGGCGGCCGCCUGGUUGGAUACUGACGCUGAGACGCGAAAGCGUGGGGAGCAAACAGG